rnacentral:rRNA from 1 species
UUUUGGACAAUGGGCGAAAGCCUGAUCCAGCAAUGCCGCGUGCAGGAAGAAGGCCUUCGGGUUGUAAACUGCUUUUGUACGCCCCCGAAACGGUCUGCCCUAAUACGGCGGGCUAAUGACGGUACCGUAAGAAUAAGCACCGGCUAACUACGUGCCAGCAGCCGCGGUAAUACGUAGGGUGCGAGCGUUAAUCGGAAUUACUGGGCGUAAAGCGUGCGCAGGCGGUUAUGUAAGACAGUUGUGAAAUCCCCGGGCUCAACCUGGGAAUCGCCUCUGUGACUGCAUAGCUAGAGUACGGUAGAGGGGGAUGGAAUUCCGCGUGUAGCAGUGAAAUGCGUAGAUAUGCGGAGGAACACCGAUGGCGAAGGCAAUCCCCUGGACCUGUACUGACGCUCAUGCACGAAA